GGAAGGUUGGCAGAAUGGUUAUUGCAGCAGCUUGCUAAGCUGUCGUCUUAUGGGCGUAGAGGUUCGAAUCCUCUACCUUCCG
rnacentral:tRNA from 1 species